rnacentral:rRNA from 1 species
GGGUAGAGCACUGUUUCGGCUAGGGGGCCAUCCCGGCUUACCAACCCGAUGCAAACUGCGAAUACCGGAGAAUGUUAUCACGGGAGACACACGGCGGGUGCUAACGUCCGUCGUGAAGAGGGAAACAACCCAGACCGCCAGCUAAGGUCCCAAAGUCAUGGUUAAGUGGGAAACGAUGUGGGAAGGCCCAGACAGCCAGGAUGUUGGCUUAGAAGCAGCCAUCAUUUAAAGAAAGCGUAAUAGCUCACUGGUCGAGUCGGCCUGCGCGGAAGAUGUAACGGGGCUAAACCAUGCACCGAAGCUGCGGCAGCGACGCUGAUGCGUUGUUGGGUAGGGGAGCGUUCUGUAAGCCUGUGAAGGUGGCCUGUGAGGGUUGCUGGAGGUAUCAGAAGUGCGAAUGCUGACAUAAGUAACGAUAAAGCGGGUGAAAAGCCCGCUCGCCGGAAGACCAAGGGUUCCUGUCCAACGUUAAUCGGGGCAGGGUGAGUCGACCCCUAAGGCGAGGCCGAAAGGCGUAGUCGAUGGGAAACGGGUUAAUAUUCCCGUACUUGGUGUUACUGCGAAGGGGGGACGGAGAAGGCUAUGUUGGCCGGGCGACGGUUGUCCCGGUUUAAGCGUGUAGGUGUGUGUUCCAGGUAAAUCCGGUUCACUUUAACACUGAGGCGUGAUGACGAGGCACUACGGUGCUGAAGCAACAAAUGCCCUGCUUCCAGGAAAAGCCUCUAAGCAUCAGGUAACAUCAAAUCGUACCCCAAACCGACACAGGUGGUCAGGUAGAGAAUACCAAGGCGCUUGAGAGAACUCGGGUGAAGGAACUAGGCAAAAUGGUGCCGUAACUUCGGGAGAAGGCACGCUGACACGUAGGUGAAGUGAUUUACUCAUGGAGCUGAAGUCAGUCGAAGAUACCAGCUGGCUGCAACUGUUUAUUAAAAACACAGCACUGUGCAAACACGAAAGUGGACGUAUACGGUGUGACGCCUGCCCGGUGCCGGAAGGUUAAUUGAUGGGGUCAGCGCAAGCGAAGCUCCUGAUCGAAGCCCCGGUAAACGGCGGCCGUAACUAUAACGGUCCUAAGGUAGCGAAAUUCCUUGUCGGGUAAGUUCCGACCUGCACGAAUGGCGUAAUGAUGGCCAGGCUGUCUCCACCCGAGACUCAGUGAAAUUGAACUCGCUGUGAAGAUGCAGUGUACCCGCGGCAAGACGGAAAGACCCCGUGAACCUUUACUAUAGCUUGACACUGAACAUUGAGCCUUGAUGUGUAGGAUAGGUGGGAGGCUUUGAAGUGUGGACGCCAGUCUGCAUGGAGCCGGCCUUGAAAUACCACCCUUUAAUGUUUGAUGUUCUAACGUGGACCCGUGAUCCGGGUUGCGGACAGUGUCUGGUGGGUAGUUUGACUGGGGCGGUCUCCUCCUAAAGAGUAACGGAGGAGCACGAAGGUUGGCUAAUCCUGGUCGGACAUCAGGAGGUUAGUGCAAUGGCAUAAGCCAGCUUGACUGCGAGCGUGACGGCGCGAGCAGGUGCGAAAGCAGGUCAUAGUGAUCCGGUGGUUCUGAAUGGAAGGGCCAUCGCUCAACGGAUAAAAGGUACUCCGGGGAUAACAGGCUGAUACCGCCCAAGAGUUCAUAUCGACGGCGGUGUUUGGCACCUCGAUGUCGGCUCAUCACAUCCUGGGGCUGAAGUAGGUCCCAAGGGUAUGGCUGUUCGCCAUUUAAAGUGGUACGCGAGCUGGGUUUAGAACGUCGUGAGACAGUUCGGUCCCUAUCUGCCGUGGGCGCUGGAGAACUGAGGGGGGCUGCUCCUAGUACGAGAGGACCGGAGUGGACGCAUCACUGGUGUUCGGGUUGUCAUGCCAAUGGCACUGCCCGGUAGCUAAAUGCGGAAGAGAUAAGUGCUGAAAGCAUCUAAGCACGAAACUUGCCCCGAGAUGAGUUCUCCCUGAGACUUUAGGUCUCCUGAAGGAACGUUGAAGACGACGACGUUGAUAGGCCGGGUGUGUAAGCGCAGCGAUGCGUUGAGCUAACCGGUACUAAUGAACCGUGAGGCUUAACCUUACA